AUUGAACGCUGGCGGCAGGCUUAACACAUGCAAGUCGAGCGGGGGAAGGUAGCUUGCUACCGGACCUAGCGGCGGACGGGUGAGUAAUGCUUAGGAAUCUGCCUAUUAGUGGGGGACAACAUCUCGAAAGGGAUGCUAAUACCGCAUACGUCCUACGGGAGAAAGCAGGGGAUCUUCGGACCUUGCGCUAAUAGAUGAGCCUAAGUCGGAUUAGCUAGUUGGUGGGGUAAAGGCCUACCAAGGCGACGAUCUGUAGCGGGUCUGAGAGGAUGAUACGCCACACUGGGACUGAGACACGGCCCAGACUCCUACGGGAGGCAGCAGUGGGGAAUAUUGGACAAUGGGGGGAACCCUGAUCUAGCCAUGCCGCGUGUGUGAAGAAGGCCUUAUGGUUGUAAAGCACUUUAAGCGAGGAGGAGGCUACUUUAGUUAAUACCUAGAGAUAGUGGACGUUACUCGCAGAAUAAGCACCGGCUAACUCUGUGCCAGCCGCCGCAGUAA
rnacentral:rRNA from 1 species